GAUGAACGCUGGCGGCGUGCCUAAUACAUGCAAGUCGAGCGAACAGACGAGGAGCUUGCUCCUUUGACGUUAGCGGCGGACGGGUGAGUAACACGUGGGUAACCUACCUAUAAGACUGGGAUAACUUCGGGAAACCGGAGCUAAUACCGGAUAAUAUUUCGAACCGCAUGGUUCGAUAGUGAAAGAUGGCUUUGCUAUCACUUAUAGAUGGACCUGCGCCGUAUUAGCUAGUUGGUAAGGUAACGGCUUACCAAGGCAACGAUACGUAGCCGACCUGAGAGGGUGAUCGGCCACACUGGAACUGAGACACGGUCCAGACUCCUACGGGAGGCAGCAGUAGGGAAUCUUCCGCAAUGGGCGAAAGCCUGACGGAGCAACGCCGCGUGAGUGAUGAAGAUCUUCGGAUCGUAAAACUCUGUUAUUAGGGAAGAACAAACGUGUAAGUAACUGUGCACGUCUUGACGGUACCUAAUCAGAAAGCCACGGCUAACUACGUGCCAGCAGCCGCGGUAAUACGUAGGUGGCAAGCGUUAUCCGGAAUUAUUGGGCGUAAAGCGCGCGUAGGCGGUUUUUUAAGUCUGAUGUGAAAGCCCACGGCUCAACCGUGGAGGGUCAUUGGAAACUGGAAAACUUGAGUGCAGAAGAGGAAAGUGGAAUUCCAUGUGUAGCGGUGAAAUGCGCAGAGAUACGGAGGAACACCAGUGGCGAAGGCGACUUUCUGGUCUGUAACUGACGCUGAUGUGCGAAAGCGUGGGGAUCAAACAGGAUUAGAUACCCUGGUAGUCCACGCCGUAAACGAUGAGUGCUAAGUGUUAGGGGGUUUCCGCCCCUUAGUGCUGCAGCUAACGCAUUAAGCACUCCGCCUGGGGAGUACGACCGCAAGGUUGAAACUCAAAGGAAUUGACGGGGACCCGCACAAGCGGUGGAGCAUGUGGUUCAAUUCGAAGCAACGCGAAGAACCUUACCAAAUCUUGACAUCCUUUGACUCUUCUAGAGAUAGAAGUUUCCCCUUCGGGGGACAAAGUGACAGGUGGUGCAUGGUUGUCGUCAGCUCGUGUCGUGAGAUGUUGGGUUAAGUCCCGCAACGAGCGCAACCCUUAAGCUUAGUUGCCAUCAUUAAGUUGGGCACUCUAAGUUGACUGCCGGUGACAAACCGGAGGAAGGUGGGGAUGACGUCAAAUCAUCAUGCCCCUUAUGAUUUGGGCUACACACGUGCUACAAUGGACAAUACAAAGGGCAGCGAAACCGCGAGGUCAAGCAAAUCCCAUAAAGUUGUUCUCAGUUCGGAUUGUAGUCUGCAACUCGACUACAUGAAGCUGGAAUCACUAGUAAUUGUAGAUCAGCAUGCUACGGUGAAUACGUUCCCGGGUCU
rnacentral:rRNA from 1 species